UGUUGACCUGACGAGGUUAACACGGGAGUGACUGAAUAACCCUGUUGGAAUUAGGCGGGGUAAUGUAAAUGGUUAGAGGUGGUACUCGCCUUCCCUAAAGGAAGUGAACCCGAACCAAGGGAACCAUUGUUGUUAUGUACUAAUUUUCGCACUAGCGAUUCCCAUAACUUGAGAGUAAAAUGUAAUCUCUCCUCCCCCCUC
ncrna:unclassified sequences manA RNA